GAAAAUCAUCAGCUGGUGGUCUGUAUGCUCUGCUGAAGCUCCACUCCAUGCUGAGUGUCUGUUACAUACAUACAGUUACUUUUUUGGAACCCCGGCAUAACACACCCCACCUGUAUAACCAUCGAUGGAUUCAGGCAUCUUAAACUUAUUAAGGUCACAUGGAGCUGGGACAGAUUGAUGCUCAUCUUCCACAACUUCUGCUGUGUGAGACAACAGAAGAAAAGAAAUUCUCCUGUGUAAAGAACUUAGAGUUUGUUUUCGCUGCCACAACUGGUAAAUGGAUUAGAAAGCAUCCAGCAGAUGAGGAAUAUGGGAAUUGAAUUUCUACUAAGUUAAAUUUGAGAUUUAAACUUUAUCCACUUUAUUUUACUUCUAAGUAGAUGAGAAAUAAAUGAAACGCCAAGUGUGUUUAAAAUGCAAAAGACAUAGAACAAUUCCAAGACAAUUAAAUGAUGAUAAAUGAUGAACUUUGAAUACAAUCAAGACAAAUGUGAAAUCUCAUAAUCAGAUUACUUAUUGUUGUUACUUACCCAUGGCUUUCUAUAUCUUACUAAAUGCAAUGAUAUGUAUUGCACUUCUGUCUGUGCUUGUUUAUAUAUCAGUUGUUUGUUGUUCUUGAUCUGAGGAACAACACAAUCCUGGCGGGGGAAUUCAGCUGGAAUGUAUGAAGGGUGGGGGCUGUAGGUCAUAAUCGCAAUUUACAACAUUGUACCAAGGGCCAGAGCAGGGCAAAAAUUCACCCUGUGUCAGACCCAGCCCCUGAAAUGUGACAUGACAUCACAAUAUGGGGGCGGGGCUGAUGACACUAGGGAGAAGCUCAAUGUUGGUAUUUAUACAAAAAAUUGGGAUGAAAAACCUCUGUAGCGCUCACAAAAUUAGGCAAUCUUUGGAUAUUAAUAUGAAUGUUAAAAUAUAAGUCCAUCAAUGUUAGAAGGAAGAAUCCCACUAGGUUUCGUUCUCAAUGAUGCACAUGAACAUGAAACAAAACUACAAAAAGAGGAAAACUACAGUGCCUUAAUUCCUUAUUGUAAAAUCCACAUGUUCCUUUAAUCCUUAAGGGUCACCCUUGUGAAGAGGCAAUAUUUCCUGCUCACAUGUAUGCUUACAUUCACCCGUGUAUUGUCACACCUAUCAAGGUUUCUUUAAAAAAUCAGACUCAAUCUGACAGCAUCAGAGUAAUCGCACACUCAGUGGGUAGAUACAAUACAAAUCGAUGCUCACAUGAACGCUUACAUGUAAAUAGGUGUUCUGUUCAUGUAGCGUUUCUUUGUCACCUUUUGUUACUUCUACGGUUCCCAUUUAUGCUUGUAUAGCUCGGUAUAAAGCACAAGCAUGGGGGAAUCGGUGAAGAGGUUUUCACACACAAUUUAUUGAAUAAAAUCAACAUAAAAAAGUAAUCAAACUAAAAACAAAUGCUCUUCAGUCUGCCAAAUACUCCUGCCAAUAGUGCAGAUAUAAACUCUAAACCAUUUGGGAGAAAAAGAG